ACCUUAUGAGAUAUUGCGAUGUAUUCAGUAAACUUCAAACUCAGACGUACACAAUCAAAGGACUUAAUCACACUGAAUUUUAUUUUUCUGGCAAAAAUUAAAGAAGAAUAAAAGAUAAAAGGAAGAAGAUUUCAGAGAACGAAAGUUUCAUCAGCAAGAUGAAUUUCUUUAAUCCAACUUUGCUUUUAUUUCUUGGUAUAUUGCUGUACGCAGCCAUGUUUACUAACAGCCAGGUCAUUCUCGCUCCCGCUGGACGUCAAACCUGUCCGCAAAGCGGUAUGAUCCGCUUGCAGAACCAACCUCAUUAUCCAAUGAAGGUUGUAGUCGCGUUGGAUCAGUUAACCUCAGACAAAAGCAGCAAUGCUCCCCCAGCCGAUGCAAUCUCUCAAGCGUCGCGCUGCCGGCCCGAAGCGAGCCGCAUCUUCACCAAGCUGUUUAGCAUCCCUGGUGCCGUCGCUGACUCAUUCCUUAGUGGAGAGAUAAUGUUUUAAAUAGCAAUAAAUGAUGU